AUUCUCAGCUUAAGCUCAUUUGAGUCAUUACCAUGGACACAGACAUUUGUAUUAGGAAUGUUUUAUUGAGCAGUGUCAACCAGUGAGGACCGUGGGAUAUCACUGGAAAAUACCCAUUUAGGAGAAUACCUUGCGGACUCUUUUAGCUCCUCUGUUCUUUGUUAACACCUGAAACAAAAUGAAUUUAUGUACUUACUAUCUUGUCAUUUUGUGAUACAUAACAGUGAAGGAAAGGCCAUGAGGAACUAGCCUAGUUCCAAGGCCUUGUAAACCAUAGUCAAUUUGAUGUAGCUGUCCAUACACAGUGGUUGUGAGUCACGGUUAAGUGAUUGUGACAUGUCUGAAAGGCAAACUUAUGUCACAGAAAAGAAGAGCUCUCUGGAUAGGUGGUUACAUAUAGCUUUUGUAAAGACAUUUGGAAACUUUGAUCUGGAAGAGACCACAUCACAGAGAAACUGUUAUUGUCUGAAAGCACACUGGUGAUAAAAACCUUUCAGUACCUAUCUAAACUAAAUCUUAUAUGUGCUCAUAUUGCCACCUUUUUUUUUGUGAUUACCGGAGCUAAUAUUCUAAUUGUGUGCCUAUGAAACAUGGCAGACAUAAGGUGGAAGCCCUGAAUUUUAGCUGGCACAUGUCUGCCUCAUUUCACAGCCUCCAUUGCAGGAAAUUUAACAAGCAUGAAGAGUGCCCCCUCCUCUGACAGUGUUUCAGUAUACCUCAGGACUUGUCAUUCUCCUGUUCUAAAAUGUAAAAAAGAAAAUGGUGGGGGAAGGAGAAAAGAAAAGGUAAAAUAAAAGGUAUACUCAUGGUAUUUAGACCUAGUGGACAGUAUUUAAAAGCCCACACAUGAAGCAACUUGUUGUUGGUUUAAAGAAUAAGUAAGUAAAUGACUAGCAGAUUGGGACCUUUUAUGGCAGAACAAUGCAGGGAUGAACUGAGGGCAUUAGUCUCCGAAAGAAAGCUGGACCCAUUACUAGUAAUUAUAGUUAAUCAGCAACAAUUGUCUUGACUAAGAUACAGAUCAAGAUUGAGCACUAACCCAACAGGACUAAUGGGGGUAAUGGAGGAUGAAGAAAUCCUGAUUGAACUCAGCAAGGCAUUGAAUAACCAGAGCAGAUGAUGCAUUUUCAAUCUGUUACUUUAGUCCAGAAAGCACUAGCUUUCUUCAAAUCAGGGGUCCAUGGUUGUAAAUCUCAACAUAGAAAUUGAAAAGUGGUUAAUGUUUAGCAUAAUGAGUAAUAUUUAUUUAUAUGGCCCACACCACAUUCGCAUGGUGGCACUGUCUUUUAAUCCUUGCUACUGAAAAUGUGGUUUGAGGACCAACCAAAUUGACAUCUCCUGGAAGCUGGUUAGGUAUUCAAACUUUCAGGCCAUAUCCCAGGCCAACAUAGCCAGAAUCUGCUGGUGACAAGAUUCCCCCAGGUGAUUCCUGUGCACUUUAAAGUUUAAGAAAUACUGAUACUCUAAAUUGAGGGAUCCUGGAAUCUAAUUAUUGUGUUGCCACACAUUAGUUAUCCAGGGAUAGUUUCUUAGAGAGGAACAAACUAUAAUAACUUGCACUCCAGUUUAUGAUAAAACUAGUGUAUUUGAGAAGAAAAAGUCAUUUUUCUAGUGCUUAUUUAAUCCCAGACCACAUUAAUGCUCACAAAAGGAGAGGUAAAAGGUCUCCUCUGGGAAGGAAGAGCUGGGUGGGUCUAUGUAUACAGUGCAUAGAACACAAUGUCUUCCAUUAAAUUAGAAUUUUUUUGUUUGUAUUGCAAUAAUCUCUGCCAAGAAGCCAAUGUGUGUUACAUAGAUAAUAAUUCAUUUUUACGUCUCCAACUAGAUAACCAGAGCCAUCUUUCCUUUUUCAUUCAAUAUGGGGAGAACAUCUGAAUCCUGAGAAAAUUAAGUGAUUUGGACCACUUGUUCAGUGGAAGUUUUGAGACCAAAAAGUAAAAUCUUUCAUUUCCCACCACUCCAUACAAUGCACUAGAUUUAGUGAAUGUCAAGGUCUCACCUAAAGUAUUAGAUCUUCACCUUCACUAGAUGAAUAUAAUACCAGAUUGUUGAAUUGCAUACAUUUUAACUUUGGCCUGUGGAUCUCAGGUAUUUAUAUUGUAUAUUUAAGUUAAUUUUGAUGAGCAUUCUUAAAGAGUACAAGAUAUUUAUGUAUUUAUUCAGAUAACUGCAAAUACAAAAGGAAGGAUGUGAGCUCACAUAUAUUAAAAUUCUGCUAUGCUUUAGUUACUUUACAAUUGUAUCGUUUAUUUGCAUUAAAAAUAAGACAGACAACAGGCCCAAAAUGGAGUCGCUUACGCUAAGCCUCAGGUCACUAAACAGUCUGAACUUAAUUACAGUUUUGGCCUCUCCCAGAAAUGGAAUCUUAAACCAGUCAAUCAGGAAUCUUCUGGUCAGUACUAGUGAUGUAAUCUGACUGAUAGACUCCUGCCAUUCCCCACAAGGAAGUGACCUUGCUGCAAACAACCUACUGUUUGCCUAAUAUAGCUUCCUCGUUUCUGUUCCCUUCUACCCAUAAAAGUCUUUCAUUUCAUAUAGGUCCUUGGAGCUUCUUUUUAUCUGCUAGAUGAGAUGAUGCUUGAUUCAUGAAUCAUUCAAUAAAGACAUUAGGAUCUUUAAAAUUUGCUCUGCUAAAUUUUGUGUUGUUAUAGUUUUUUAAAACAUUUCUGACAACAGCACUUGAUGAUAAAGAACUUAUCCUCAUUUUUCCCACGUGGAAACUGAGGCUAAAGAAGGCUAAAUAAAUAAUUUACCUAAUAUGAUAAGUAGAAGUGAAUGCAAAUCAUGUCUGCUUGAUAGGAAAACUCUCUAUUUACCAUACUCAUUUGGCUUGAUGAGGAUUUCUGUCCAUAUUCUACACCUUUGGAAAGUAAUCAUUAUCCUUAUCCAAGAAGAGCUAAAAAGAGUACAAGAAGAUUUUAUUACAAAUAGAACUAACGCUUGCUCCAUACCUUCUGUCUUCUUCUUCUCCCAUAGCCAAAUAAUCUAAAUUCUCAAAUUUACUUCUUCUUGCUCUUGUAUCCAGUUGUCUAUAUAAUAUUAUUAUCUGUUAAUUAUUAAAUCAA